CCUACGGGAGGCAGCAGUGGGGAAUAUUGCGCAAUGGGCGAAAGCCUGACGCAGCAACGCCGCGUGGGGGAUGAAGGCCUUCGGGUUGUAAACCCCUUUCAGCAGGAACGAAAAUGACGGUACCUGCAGAAGAAGGACCGGCCAACUACGUGCCAGCAGCCGCGGUAAUACGUAGGGUCCGAGCGUUGUCCGGAUUUAUUGGGCGUAAAGAGCUCGUAGGCGGCUUGGCAAGUCGGAAGUUAAAACAGCAGGCUCAACCUGCUGCCGCUUUCGAUACUGCUAUGGCUUGAGUCUGGUAGGGGACCAUGGAAUUCCUGGUGUAGCGGUGAAAUGCGCAGAUAUCAGGAGGAACACCAAUGGCGAAGGCAGUGGUCUGGGCCAGUACUGACGCUGAGGAGCGAAAGCGUGGGGAGCGAACAGGAUUAGAUACCCUAGUAGUC
rnacentral:rRNA from 1 species